GCGGGCGUGGUGAAACUGGUAGACGCGCCGGACUCAAAAUCCGGUUCCGCAAGGAGUGUCGGUUCGAGCCCGACCGCCCGCACCA
rnacentral:tRNA from 5 species